GAGUUGUGCGAACUUAGUGCGGGAAUUCAAGCUAUCAAUGUCAAGGUCAAGUUUUUAAAGAGCUUAACUCGGCUCCAUAGAUUUUCACAAGUUUUAAACUUAUAGCUCAUUUAGAUUUUGUUAGGUUUAGAUUUGGCUUAGGCUUGGCUUGCAUUUUAGCUCCUUUUUACCUGAACUCCCAAAUCCCAACAAAAUCAAACCUUUAACCAAACAUAAAUAACUAAAUAACUAUCAUAAUUCAACCGGG
rnacentral:misc_RNA from 1 species